GGAAGCAGCCCUAGAAAAGACAAAAAAAAAAAAAAAUCCAGGUGUCUUGUACUUAGGCAUUAUAUUAAGGCGAACUGAAUUGCAGAAAUAUAAAACGCCACUCUUAUUUGAAAAAUAUAGUUACUUCCAUGAAAAUGUUAAUGUGAUGUAUUUGUCACUAUGUUUUUUUCCCCUCAGUUUUAAUUUCUAGUAUGGUAAAAUACUGGUAAACAAAGCAUUUGGGACCCUCAGCUUUUAAUAAUGUGAAGAUAUCCUGAGACCAAGAAGUUGGAGGAAGCUGCUAAGCAUAUGAAAAUUGCUUUCAUCAUAAACUAUAUGAUUGAAUAGCUACAAUCCCACAGCUGAUUAGCAUACAUGUUUGCCUUGGGGCAGAAGUAUGAGGGUGACAAAGCAGGCUUCUCAUAAGCAAUGGUAAGUUUUUUCACAUUGUGCACAUUAAAAAAUGCAGUAUAGGAGAGACCUGUCUAUACGGUGUUCCUCUUCAACUUAAAAAAAAAAUAACCAAGGUACAGUAUUUCAAUUUUUUUUUGUGUCCUAGAAUUUUCAAACUUUCAUCAUAUUCCCACAUAAUACCUCAUCUGAACUUGAUGGAAAGGGCUACUUUUUCUAUGCCUUGCUCAGUAGUAUUAAGCCCUUUUGGGCUUUAUUGUAAUUUAUGUACUUUACAGGUUUAAACCCCUGCCCCCGGCUGCGCCCAUGGCAUGUGGAAAUUCCUGAGCUAGGGAUUAGAACCUAUGCCACAAUUGUAGCCUGCACCACAGCUGUGGCAAGGCCACAUCCUUAACCUGCUAUGCCAAGGGAGCUUCCAAUAUAAAACUUUUAAACCACCUCCUUUUUUUCAGUCUUAGUCUUAUCCUUUGGUACUUGCAAUGGAGACCUGAGUGCAUCUGGCAUUGAUACAGAAUGUCUAAAGUUUUUGAAAACCUUGUUACAAUGUUUAAAAAUGUUUCCCUCUCUAGGCACUAGUACACUGACAGUCACUGGAAGAUAAAUGACUUUCCUUUCAUUAAAAUUA